GCUCCCUUUCCUUUCCUAAAGAAGCUGCAGAACUAUCAGGAGCUCAAAACACGGGUAAAGCAAGGCUGGGCGAUGACUAGAGCACAAGGGGUGAAAGAUGUCCUGUGAAGUUGACCAAGUGCAAGAGGAGUGAUGGCGAGGCCUCCAUCGCACCCUCAAGAUUCUGCAAAAUUCACUUUGGCUGAAAAGAAAUCCAGUGGGUUAAAUAGUG